UACAGAGGGGGCAAGCGUUGUUCGGAAUUACUGGGCGUAAAGGGCGCGUAGGCGGCCUUCUAAGUCGAACGUGAAAUCCCCGGGCUCAACCCGGGAACUGCGUCCGAUACUGGAAGGCUUGAAUCCGGGAGAGGGAUGUGGAAUUCCAGGUGUAGCGGUGAAAUGCGUAGAUAUCUGGAGGAACACCGGUGGCGAAGGCGGCAUCCUGGACCGGCAUUGACGCUGAGGCGCGAAAGCUAGGGGAGCAAACGGG
rnacentral:rRNA from 1 species